AUUUUACCUUUUCUAUGGUCAAUGGCAUGCUGAAUUGAUGAGAACACUUGUAACAGGAACACAGGAAAUAUCAGAAGUAGUAAAGCAUUUCGUGGUCCACGUUCAUGUUGCACAGCUAAGUUCACAAAAAUAAAGUUUCAGCUGCUGUAGGAUUACGAAAUUAGUGACAAUUUCUUUUGGAGCAAAUACUUGAAGACCAAAGACGUUAAAAGAUGAAUUUCAAACGAAUUUUUAUAAUCAGUAAGUAGUCGUGAAAGCUGAUUAAAAAAAUAUUUACAAUAGCCUCCGAGCCAGAGGCAACUAAUAUAUUUACAUAUAGACAAUUGUAAAUGAAGAAACGCAAUUACUUUCUACUUUUUCAAACAUUUUACAUUCUUAUAAUCUUUCUAAGAGCAAAACAUAUAAAAAUGGCUCAUAAAGAUUUCACAGUCGAUGAAUAAUUUUUGAAUUGUCUUAUUGUAUGGUAUUAUAGUGCAUGAGGCAGAACAAUGGAAGAUGGAAAAGUGUUUUACAAAAUAAUAAUGGAGUUUGUAAUUUUCCUAUACAAGUAAAUAAUUAUCGAUAUUAUAAAGAUUGUAUAUUUGU